rnacentral:rRNA from 1 species
UGGCGGCAGGCUACACAUGCAAGUCGAGCGGUAGCACAGAGAGCUUGCUCUCGGGUGACGAGCGGCGGACGGGUGAGUAAUGUCUGGGAAACUGCCUGAUGGAGGGGGAUAACUACUGGAAACGGUAGCUAAUACCGCAUAAUGUCGCAAGACCAAAGUGGGGGACCUUCGGGCCUCAUGCCAUCAGAUGUGCCCAGAUGGGAUUAGCUAGUAGGUGGGGUAACGGCUCACCUAGGCGACGAUCCCUAGCUGGUCUGAGAGGAUGACCAGCCACACUGGAACUGAGACACGGUCCAGACUCCUACGGGAGGCAGCAGUGGGGAAUAUUGCACAAUGGGCGCAAGCCUGAUGCAGCCAUGCCGCGUGUGUGAAGAAGGCCUUCGGGUUGUAAAGCACUUUCAGCGGGGAGGAAGGCGUUAAGGUUAAUAACCUUGUCGAUUGACGUUACCCGCAGAAGAAGCACCGGCUAACUCCGUGCCAGCAGCCGCGGUAAUACGGAGGGUGCAAGCGUUAAUCGGAAUUACUGGGCGUAAAGCGCACGCAGGCGGUCUGUCAAGUCGGAUGUGAAAUCCCCGGGCUCAACCUGGGAACUGCAUUCGAAACUGGCAGGCUAGAGUCUUGUAGAGGGGGGUAGAAUUCCAGGUGUAGCGGUGAAAUGCGUAGAGAUCUGGAGGAAUACCGGUGGCGAAGGCGGCCCCCUGGACAAAGACUGACGCUCAGGUGCGAAAGCGUGGGGAGCAAACAGGAUUAGAUACCCUGGUAGUCCACGCCGUAAACGAUGUCGAUUUGGAGGUUGUGCCCUUGAGGCGUGGCUUCCGGAGCUAACGCGUUAAAUCGACCGCCUGGGGAGUACGGCCGCAAGGUUAAAACUCAAAUGAAUUGACGGGGGCCCGCACAAGCGGUGGAGCAUGUGGUUUAAUUCGAUGCAACGCGAAGAACCUUACCUGGUCUUGACAUCCACAGAACUUUCCAGAGAUGGUUUGGUGCCUUCGGGAACUGUGAGACAGGUGCUGCAUGGCUGUCGUCAGCUCGUGUUGUGAAAUGUUGGGUUAAGUCCCGCAACGAGCGCAACCCUUAUCCUUUGUUGCCAGCGGUUCGGCCGGGAACUCAAAGGAGACUGCCAGUGAUAAACUGGAGGAAGGUGGGGAUGACGUCAAGUCAUCAUGGCCCUUACGACCAGGGCUACACACGUGCUACAAUGGCAUAUACAAAGAGAAGCGACCUCGCGAGAGCAAGCGGACCUCAUAAAGUAUGUCGUAGUCCGGAUUGGAGUCUGCAACUCGACUCCAUGAAGUCGGAAUCGCUAGUAAUCGUAGAUCAGAAUGCUACGGUGAAUACGUUCCCGGGCCUUGUACACACCGCCCGUCACACCAUGGGAGUGGGUUGCAAAAGAAGUAGGUAGCUUAACCUUCGGGAGGGCGCUACC